GGUUCUCAUUUCUAUUAGUGCGACGAUGCAGAAUAUGCAAAUAUACAGGGUGCCUGUUUUGUCUGAAUACGAAAUCUCAUGAAAAAGUGUGACGAAGAAUGGACCCAUUGAAAGUAGCAGAAGUCUAAAUAUGGUCUUUGUCAAAAUAGAGCCUCGUUCGUAAUAUAUUUCGAUGGAAACUCUCGAAAGUCUCAACUCUCGAGGUCCAUCCGAGAUCCACUUCUAAAGUUCGUAAUUUUCGAGUUACCUGUUUCGAGUACCGAGUUAACGUCAUUGAAAGGAAACGCUUCACCUUUGAAAGAAAGCAAGCUGAAAGAUGAAGGGUGUAAAAAAAAAGGGGCGAUCGACGCUGGUCGAAGGUUGCUAUCUUUGUUGGGAACAAGUCGCCGGGAAAAACUCGCUUGACCCAGUUUCCGGGACUGAUACGACGGCGAUGGCCACCGAACACCGCUUCCAAACGAUUUAUGUACAGACUUUUUCUACCUCUAUCGUAUCCUUUUCUAUUUUUCUCCAUCUUUUUUCCCGGUUCGGCACGUUCUAUCGAUGGGUACAAUCUUUCACAGGUGAUUCAAGAGGGAAGAGAGACGAAUAGCAUGAAACUUAACGCUCGUUACAUCUUCAGUUUGUUUUUUCUUUUUUUUAUAUAAAGAAUAAUAAAAUACAUCGAUUAAUAUAUAAAAGAAAGAAGAAAAAAAUAGUUCAAUUUAAAAAAAUAGAAGGUUGUCAUUUUUCAUGUUUCCACGUAAAGAUUUAAAUGAGUUUAUCGUAGUUUCAUGUAGCUGAAUAAAAACAGAAGUUUAGCGUGCUUUGGUAUCAAGUGGCGAUUUUCUCGUAUGGCUCUGUGUUUUGGCUCGAAGAAAGUGGACAUGUGUGUUUAGGAGAGCCCGGUGAUGGUGCACAUUUAAGAAAAGGGGCAAUUGAGAACGAACCCAAGUGAGAGCUGGAAAAAAUUGACCUAAAAAGUAUGCUGGUGAGAAUUGUGAAAAACGAGAACGUAGCGUGAUACUCGCGCGGUUGUUCACAGUUUCCUCUUCAUUUUGUAAUUUAUCAUUUUACUUUGGUAUAUGUUCCUCGUUUAUUUUAGUAUCUGUCAUAAAUACGUCAACCGUGGUGACUGCUAAGAAUAAAAUUCACGUUUCUAUUUGUUACACUUGGCCGGCGUAGAACAAGAACUGAAUCUAAAUUGGUCAACAUCUGUGGUAUGCGCAACUGAAAAAUUCAUAUUCGUGCAUAGCUGGGAAACUUAAAUUUUCUAUCGACGUUUUCGAGUCUACACGGUAUUGAUAACGCUCGUCUGACUGGAACGUUUCGCUAUUUGCAUAAAAAUUGCACGUCUGAUGACCAUUGUAAAUUCCAGCCAACAGACGAACUAUCGAUCGUUGUGGCCGACGUAUCGCGAUUCCGUGGACGAAGAUUGACGUUUCGACGAGUGGAUAUGAAGAACCGUUACGAAAUUAUCGUUUCAAGGGAAUCCUUGAAACACGUUUGCAAUCGAACAUCUUUAAAAAUAGCUGAUCUUCGUCGAUGCAAAUUUUAAUAAACAAAUCACCGAGAGUUUAAUCGAAUAAUAUUCUCUUGAGGAUGUAAAAUUAUCAAGAAAUCUUGUCACAACUGACCAGUGAAAUAAAACCAUUCGAAGCCAAGCAAUUCUUGCGAGAACAAGAAAGACUAUAAAUUUUUGUAAAUUAGCUUACGCGGUAGCCUAGACAUGAAACUUCUGUCGAUGAAACCGGUACGAAAUAUAAUUUUCCAAUUAUCAACGUCACCAUAAUGCAAAGGGUCGGUGGAUUACAAGGGUUAACACAACCGCAUCGCUUGCGCUUAGAAUGUCGACAUCCCUUGCCAAGAAAUCCCAAUAAUUCAAUCGCGAUCCGAAGUGCAUCUCGCUCUCUCGGACCGUCACUCGAAGAACAUGUGCGCCAUCUGAAUACAUACGUCGAAUUACCAGGCACCUGUUAGACCACGAACAAAACGUUGUCCGGCUCCCUUCAACUCUGUUCCUGUCUGUCGAGCGCUAUCUCGCAUCUGCAAGGUAUUAAGCGGUUGCACAAGAAUGAGAGAAGAGAGCGGCGGAGAGGGGAGAAAGAGGUAGACGAAGAGGAGGUAGGAGAAGAACGACGACAACGACGACGACGGACACGCCGGCGAAAACAUUAUUUCCUAAGAACAGAGCUCGCUUUGUGAGCGGGACAGUUUGAAGUGCGUCCAUCAGGGAGCAGAUGCUGGGGGCGCACGAGUGUCGUUGAAUCAUAGAUUCCUAGAUUACAGGCUGACUGGAAGGAAAGCGGGGAAGGACCUCGCUGUGAAAUGCAAGAGACGAUGAGAGGGUGUCGGUGAAACGAGAGCCACGGACAGAGGAAGAGAGGACCGGUUGAUUUAACGGAGCCUGCUUCUGACGAAGCGACUCUGUAAUUUUGUUAUUUCCUCCCUUUUCUUUUUUUUCCUUCUUCUUUUUCGCUCUUUCUCGUGGAAACAGGGGGACGAAAAAAAAAAAAAGAAAGAAAAACGAACGUCGCGUCUAGGGAUAGUCUGAUUUGUCUCGAUUCGCGACCGACGUCUCGAGCACUGUGAUUGAAAUCAAGACAAGGAUUUAGUCAACUUGUUAUUGGAUUAGGUUUCUUCAAUGACGAACGAUAACUAAUGUCUGUACCGUGGAUUUUCGCCGAAUUUAUUUGCUUCAUAUGUACGUGUCUCGUAUAUUUAUCGCUUGGUUUCUACAUAAGCGUCCUCCCAACACUUGCAAAUACAGGUAUAAAUACUCUUGGAUGUAAGUUGUAAGAAAUAUGUGCGCAUGUAUGACGCGUUUCUAUUAGAAGUCCUAAGAAGAACGGCAGUGUGACAUUAUUGGACUUCCGUAAAAUUUACAAUCGUUUUAUGGCUUGCAGCUUUCACGUAGAACACAUGGCUGAAGCAUUCGAGGAACGGACUUGAAGUCACUAUCGAGUGCAGGAGGAAAAACCAGCUGCUGGGAAAAACAGUAAAUACGAAGGAAUAGCGAGCACCGGAUCUUCAAAAAUGAAGAUCCUGUUCGCGUUUCGUCCGUUUCUGUUUCUCCAAAAAUCACGCUCGUUUCUACCUAACUGAUAUCCAGUACCUAGCAAUUCGCCAGAUGCUAAUGAAGAAUUCACGCUUGUGCUCAUCUGAAAUCCUCUUUAAAUUCGUUGCACUGGUCGUUUUACACCGCUUCCUCUCCCUCUUCUUCUUCCUGUCUACAAUUUUUUUUCUUCCGUCUUUUUUUCUAUUUUAUUAUUUUAUAUCACGCCGAUAGAAUUCAUUCCGGAAACCACGUCGCGAAAUGACGCGCGGCCAGUUUUUAUUUCAUUAAUUAUUGGAAUACCUGAAUACCAGUCAGUUUUAUUCGCGUCCCCCCGGGGAAUUUUCAUUAGUAGCAGUUUCAAUAGCGGCGUAUGGCACUUUACUGAUUGCGUGCCGGCCACAAUGGCGGCUGUACGCGGCGCAGCGCGCACGCCGCGCGUAUCGCCCGUUACACGAGCGGACCGCGAGCCCCGUGAAAUAUCGAUGGCAAUAAAAUUUCAUGGACGCGGGGGUAAUUCUAUCGUUGCCACCGUCGUAUGCGUCGAAGACACGCGGCUCUCGCGAUAUCAUCCCGCGAAUUUUUCGCCCGCCAACCGGAUUUACGACGGCUCUUCGUCAUACCGACGCGAAUUAAAAUGUCCGUCGCGACGACUGGCUUUAUCGCCGCGCGAAUCUUACCUGUACAUGGUGUUAGAACAGGUUAUGUAAGAAUACAUAGAUUUCCAACCAUGUUAUUACAAUUAAUCUUCCGAUCUAUCUCUUUCGCUUCUAUUCUACGUUUUUUUGUUUUAUUAUUUAAUUUGUACUUUAGAAUUUGUCCAGCUGGACACUUGAUAAAUUUUUCUAACUUAAUUGCUAAAUAACAUGUGGUUGACUAUCCCUAGCGGGAUACCAUCUUCGAGUUUGACUAUUUUAUUUCUUUAGAGAGGUCAGUGGGGUGUUCUUUUUCGUCAUGUACGGAAUGAAUUUUCCAACGAAUUCACAACGUUUUCACUAUAUUCUAUGAUCUUACUGAAACGUAAGAUUAUAGUUGAUAACCGCACCCUGGUACAGCACAUUUUUUUGUUUUAUUAUUUAAUUUGUACUUUACAAUUUGUCCAGCUGGACACUUGCUAAAUUCUUCUAACUUAAUUGCUAAAUAACAUGUGGUUGAUUAUCCCUAGCGGGAUACCAUCUUCGAGUUUGACUAUUUUAUUUCUUUAGCGAGGUCAGUGGGGUGUUCUUUUUCGUCAUGUACGGAAUGAAUUUUCCAACGAAUUCACAACGUUUUCACUAUAUUCUAUGAUCUUACUGAAACGUAAGAUUAUAGUUGAUAACCGCACCCUGGUACAGCACAUUUUUUUGUUUUAUUAUUUAAUUUGUACUUUAGAAUUUGUCCAGCUGGACACUUGAUAAAUUUUUCUAACUUAAUUGCUAAAUAACAUGUGGUUGACUAUCCCUAGCGGGAUACCAUCUUCGAGUUUGACUAUUUUAUUUCUUUAGCGAGGUCAGUGGGGUGUUCUUUUUCGUCAUGUACGGAAUGAAUUUUCCAACGAAUUCACAACGUUUUCACUAUAUUCUACGAUCUUACUGAAACCGCACCCUGGUACAACACAUUUUUUUUUUAUUAUUGUUUAAUUUGUACUUUAGAAUUUGUCCAGCUGGACACUUGGUAAAUUUUUCUAACGUAAUUGCUAAAUAAUAUGUGGAUGACUAUCCCUAGCGGGAUACCACCUUCGAGUUUUUUUUUUUUUUUAUUUUAUUUAUUAAAAUUUACAAUCAAUUCUCGCAUUGAGAAUUUUCAGUAAUUAUCUUCAAGUUUGACUAUUUUAUUUCUUUAGUUAGUGGGUGUUUUCUUUUUAGUCUUCUUUCUAUGAGAGUUUUGCUCGCUUUAGCAGUCAGUUGGUUUGGAUGUGUUGCUGUUCUUUCCUUGUGUUCUAUUCUACGUUGACGAUAUCGGAAGAUUUGUGAUAAACAUCAUAUCAACAGAAACGGAGUUAAAAUUAACGCUACGUUACAUGAAAUGUAUAAAAACGUCGAUACAAUGCUUUACUGUUGCAGACCGGAGAUCGUUGGUUGGCGAACGCGAGCAAAGACAGUCCUCGACAUUGAGAAAGGGCCUGGGCGAGGCUACAGUUCGGGAAACGCUUCUUGAGACCUGGUGCAAAAUUAUGAUACGCGCGGCGCCGGAGCAAACGGGCCCGCUGCACAUGGCCCCUCGUGGAAAGAAAUAAAGUAAGGUCCUGUCAGUUAUGGGCCAAAUUUCUCUCAACGCUGUAACCUCGCAUUCAGAAAAACGUAUCUAAUAAACCGCUCUCAGUGUACUUGAAUUACGAUACGAGAGAAAUUUUUAUCAUAGAACUUUCCGCCCAAAAUUCUUCUUCAUGUCGACAAAUUUGUGGCUUCGACUGUCUACAGUAUCAUAGUAAGAAACACAUUUUAUUUCAUUUUCUUGUAUUAUUCCACUUGAAAAUACGUCAAUGACGAAAACACUUAGCAUGUUUAAACCCUAAAAUUCAAAGACGCUUCGACUUGUUUAACAAAAAAAAAAAAAAAAAAGAAAUCUAAUUAAUCGAGAAAAUAUGUAUGCUGACUAAAUCUGAAGUAAAAACAUCAGCAAACAUCGCACGAAAUUCCAAGCAAACCUUCUUUUAAAGACAUUGCAGAGCUUAUUCUUGUCCGCAUCUUGUCUCGUGUGUAUCCCGUGUAUCCAGAAGCCACGGCUUGUUUCAAUAUUUUUGUUCACGUGGCGUGAAGAAUUUGUCGCCAGUCCACGGUCGGGCCAUUAUUCCGGCUCUUCAAUCUCUCCGUCGCCGGGACUCUUCGUCUUUCACCUCGAAUUAGGUUUGACUAGUGGUGUGCGCGUUCGCGUUCGCUAAGCGCGGACGGUUCAUAAAUAGUGAACAGUGUCGAGUUUCUUUGACGGUGGCCGCCGUUCUCGGGGUUUUUCGACUCGCCUCUUAUUUUCAGAAGCGACGAUUAAUUUCCAGCUACGAACGAGCUGACGAACGACGCUACGAGCACAGCAUGAAAACGAGACGGACGUGGCCAGGCGAAAAAGAUGGGAAGACAGGACGAAGGAGAGAGAAAAGAGAGUGAGAGAGAGAGAGAACAUGAUGACAGCAGCACUUUGAUGUCACGAAACUCGAUUAAAAAUCACUGCGCUCCUCGGAAUGGAUUGCAGUCGUACGCUGGCGUCGAAUAGGGUUAGAAACCUAGUUUAUUUGUUCGCGUAUCCGCCAGCGUCUGUGUAGUCAAAUUAACUAGCCUCGUUAUUCAAUGACGCUGAUCGAAUUUUCUGAAAUAAUUGCCAUCGGUGCGACAAAAUAUGAAACUAAAGAUUAUGCUGCAUUCCAGUUAUUGGAAAUACGUAUAGCAGCGGACCCGAUAUAUUAAACAAUUGACGCGUUGUCUGCGUUUCGUAUUUCAUGGGUUUCCCAUGGUUUUAUUUAAGGCGUUACUUGUGUUUUGAUAAAUUACGUUAUGUAGGGAAUGAAUUUUUCAACUAAUUCACAACGUUUCCACUAUAUUCUACGAUCUUAAUGAAACGUAAGAUUAUAGUUGAUAACUUCAACCGCACCCUGGUACAACACAUUUUUCUUUUUUUUUUAUUAUUUAAUUUGUACUUUACAGUUUGUCGAGCUGGACAUUUGGUAAAUUUUUCUAGCUUAAUUGCUAAAUAACACGUGGAUGGCUACUCCCAGUGGGAUACUAUCUUCCAGUUUGACUAUUUUAUUUCUUCAGUGAGUGGGUGUUUUCUGUCUAGUCUUCUCUCUAUGAGAGUUUUGCUCGCUUCAGCAACCUGGUAGUUUGCAUGUGUUGCUCUUCUUUCCUUGUAUUUUUCUGCGUACCUGUCGAUUUCUUCCUUGGCCGUUGGUAUUUCCGAGUCUUUGCGUAUAUCCUCGUUUCUGACAUACCAUGGGACGUUGACUAUUGCUCUCAGUAUCUUCUGUUGUAGCGACUCUAGUUUAUUUACGUGGCUCAUUGCUGCUGUUCUCUAUAAUGGGUAUUCCAUACGUUCAAAUUGGUUUUAUUAUCGUUUUGUAGAUUUUCAGUUUAUUUUCUAUGCUGAGUUUAGAGUUUCGACUAGUUGACCAGUACAUCUGUCUUCUUUCUAUCCGUAUUUUGUCUAUAAUUGAUUUAGUACGGAACGACACAUUUGCUACGAUAAAAAAGUCACUCGGUAGCUAAAGAUCAAACUGUGUUUAACCUCGUAAUCAAUCGUAAAUAUUUCUAAGAACCAUGUGUACGCACGAAAUUCGUGACGUGCGCAUCAUCACAAGAUAGAGAAACAUCGAGAAACACAGGAGCCCCGAUUUUCACUGUUACGUUCGCUCUUUGCCAAACGAUUCUUCCUCGAAACGCAUUACCGCCACCGGAGUGUUUUGAAAAAGCUCACCUUUCGCUGAUUCUAUUUAUGAGAUUCUCUCUAGAGAGACACUCGUGCGUGGCCACCGGUACGUGGUAAUGAAGGCGAGUUACUAGGACGCGGGAUCGCCGCGGUUUGUAAGCGUCCACGCAUGCGUGUAUUUUUCCAAGAAACGCGACAGAUACAGCGAGACCGUGCUCGACUGGUUCUCGUUUGAAUAAUGGAGAAGCAAAACCUCGUAACUUUGGUCAAUGUUAUCUCUCAAAGCUUUGUUCUCUCCGUGGCCGUGCCUCAUCCAAACUCAUUUUCAUAAUUGCGCACUAUGUCAUAGCUUUUUUGCGCCCCUAUUUCUCCCAUCUUUCGCAGUCAGCGCGCCGCUCUAAUUCUCUUUUUCUCUCUAACCACUAGGGCCCCACCGCCCCUCCCUUCCCGCCUCCUCUUCGUUUCCUUCUUUUCUCUCUUUCCUCUAUUUUACGCGGACGACGUCGCGUUAAAAACAUUUUUAAUUACAUUAAAUUUCGUUUUUCUCAACGUUUAUUGCGCGUCACGAGGAAGCCAGUGUAAUCAUAACGUUUGCACGUACGCAUCCUUCCGCUCGCGAACGUCUUUGCCGUCGUUGCGCUGCUGCUCGGCUUUUUCCUCCCCGGCCGGAAAGCCCUCGACAAAACAAACGAUCGCGUUAUUUACCGGCGCAUCUUUGAAUAAUUAGAAAAUCGUUUCGUUUACUAUUAUUUCGUGCUUGAACGAGAUCUGUGCAAUAAAGGUGGAGGAUUUGGGAAAAUUAAAUUCCUGCAGACUAUCUUGGAAGAAAUGUCGGCUUUUGGGAUGCUUGAAGCAAUUAGCAGAGCUGGGUAAUUCGAGAUAAUGAACUAAUCGUUAUAAAAACCAGGUAAAAAGCAGCGAAACUUGGAAGGAGAUAUAGGUCAGUCGUUGAAGCAAAAACUUGAUUUUAUCUUCGUUUCGUCAAAGUAUACUGCAUCGAGCACGUAUGAGGUUUUUUGCGCGGCUAUCAGAGAUAUCAAAAAGCGGCGGAACAGCAGCGCGAAACAUCGCUUUUACUUUCGCAACAAGAAGGAAACGUUUUAUGGAAUCCGUAAACGUGGAAGCGUGUUCGCGUAGUACGGUUCAAAUUCGUUACAUAAUUCAGCCGUGCAUUUGCAUAAAUUCAAAUUACACAGCUGUGUGAGCUCGCCUAUGAAUAAAACUGGCCCGAGAAACAAUAUAUGCAAUAUAUUACCUCAACGAGCAUCGAAUAGAACGGCUGAAACGGUUUUGUCAUUUAGGCUAACGAGCCGACCGAAUUCCAUCCACAGAUUCUAACAAAUUAUUAUAAUUUAUCGAUUCUAUUUAAGAAAUUCAACGUUGCUUUCACUUUGCUGUAAGAGGGAAAGGUAUUUUUAAAAAGCUAUUGACGAUCUAUUUACACGUUACAGAAAUCAAAAAUACGUUGAACAGCCUAUGUAUGUGUAUCCAUAAGCAGUACAUAGACAGGAAUAUAAAAAGGGAGAGAAGAUAGAGACUCGAACGAAAUUACGGAACUUUAAUUUGCAGUAUACUUCCUUUACAUCUCACAGCGGGAGUGCGAAUAUUUUUCACAGACGGGAAAUUCAUAUCGGAAAAGACAUUAGAGCGGAGUGUGGGGACGUUUUAAAAUUCUGGGUCAACGAAAGUACUAAUUAACAUGCAAAUUGUACAUAUUAAUCUUAUAAGGCUCCGUUUCUGCUGGCAAAGUGAAGCUCUGUAAUCAAAGCGCGGCAACGCUUACGCGUCACCAGGCAAAUGCAAAUUCGAUCGUAAAACGGCUUGCAACGAUCUACCGACACCCCCUCCCCUAUUUUCCCACCCUUUUAGAUAUCACUUCAGAACGUUUUGAAUCGAACGGAUAAUUAACGAAAGAAUAAUCAAUGAUAAACUGUCGUUUCCGUAUAGUCGUUGGUAUCUUUUUAGUAGGUAGUAAUUUUGGCCUGCGUGCUUCCGUAAUUAAUAUCAUUUGUUCGUAUUCGAGCCGAUUUCCCUUGAAAUUAAUUAAACCGAGAACAAUCGUAUACCGAUGUUCUGUUGCUUGAAUUUCCAAUAAAAGUUCAGACAAAUUUAAAUGAAAUAAACCGAGAGAAAUAUUGGCUAUAUUCUUCUCUAUCUAACUAGAUCAUUAUUUCGAAUCUUUUUUAAAUCGACACAUCCUCUUUUGUAAUAGCUACAAAUAUAACCUGCCAUCUUCCUUCGAUUAAACGAAUAUUUUUAAUGAAAUACAGUUGCGUCAAAUUCUACCAGUCUUCGAUAAAAAAAAAAAAAAAAUGAUCUUGGCGAUGCCCUGGAAAAUAUAUUUCGUCAGCCAGAGAUCGAGAACUCAGGUCCUGGAUAAUCUUGAAAUUAAAAUGAUAUCAAAUGGUAACAUUUUUUAAUUACAUUCCUGUGAUCGUGAUACAUAUUUGACACGGUACGAAAGGAUCUCGGUAAAUGGAACAUCUCAUUAUUUACGCCUGGCCUUAAUAUCGCUGUCGCUAAUUUGUCGGAUUUUUAAUACGUGUUUCUCUUUCGCCCGUUUCUUUUCGCAGGUGUUGGUCGGAAAAAUUUUUACACGUUAAUCGCUGGGACCGAUCGAAGCGAGUAAUUUGUACAAGUCGGCAGAUGACACGCGAAUCGUGCAUUAGGGAUUUAUGUUCAAGGCUUGUAUUACCACGGUUCUUCGAUGAUAUCUGCAUGUAAAGUGAGUUUCUUUGGCAAGAAAAAAAGGACUGUUCUGCUUCAUUAGCAGUUCAUUACUCGUUAUAACCUAAAGCAGCCAGAGAACAUGUUAAUUGAAUGGACUCGCUAAUUUUCCCUGCAUUAUUCCUGUCGUUUUCUGGAAUCGAUUCUUAAAUGCGAAGAAAAAGCGGAACGCCGGCAGAGCAAACAACGGUAGCAACAAAAAUAAACGUGGCGAACGCUCGCAAAUCGAACGAGGGCCAACACUCUUCAAACUCCAGAAAUAAAAGCUUCGCUCGACAGUCGAUACACGCCCGGUGGCGAAGGUGAAUGGACGUCGACUCGACUGCCGCAGAAUCGCCAAGAAACCAAGACCUUCCACUAGCAAUACUAUUAGUUCUGUCGAAAAGUGUCCACGUUUCUCUUUUUUCCGAUUCGCACUUACUACGCUGUUCAACACAGCUUGUAAUCUUUAUUCGUAUUUAUCAGAUUUCAAUAGUUGGAAAAUACGGUUAAUUAUUGACGUAUUUUGAAAAAUUCGAUAAGGAAUAUAUAGAUGGAUUGUAUGACAAAUUAUACGAAAGUUCUACGAAGCCAAUUCUAUCGAGAUGGUAUCCCUCUGGGGGUAGCCAUCCGCGUGUUAUUUAGCGAUUAAGCUAGAAAAAUUUACCGAAUGUCCAGCAGGACAAAUUGUAAAGUACCAAUCAAAUAAUAAUAAAAAAAGUGUUAUUCCAUCACACGAACUCUGAUUAGUCGAUUUCUUUAAAAACAAAGCUUCAGCCGACAAAAUGUCGUAUCAAAUUUCCAACUCGUUUCUUCACGUAGAAUCAUCCCUCCAUCAAUACUCGUAUUACCAUAAUCGUCUACGUUUAGUUGAAAAAUUAUUUAAAAUUUUCAGUCCGGUUUACAUUUACGAAAAUUCCAUAUCCCAAAGAAAUCAGAGAGUGACUUUUGGCCCACCUUGUAUCCUCCACGGUCGACUUUAGCCGGCCCGACUCGCUUCAUUUUUUUUAUCCCUUCCCCUUUCACGCAGACGUUUCCCAAUUGGAGCUCGGCUGCACGUGAAAAUCUCUGCACGGUCAGUUUAUUUUAGACGGAAGACGCGAGUCGGCCGAGGGGUCGCGUUCGAGGGUGUGUUUACGCGCGUGUGCACGCCAAGAGGACGAAGAGAGAAAGUGCAAGCAAUUUCACGGGCAACACACGGCCAGGCACUCGGCGGUUGCAGCAGGUCGAAGAGGGUAAAAGGCUGCUGUUGCACCACUCCCCCUAAACCCCUCGUCCCUCGUGCAACGCACUUACCCAAU